rnacentral:ncRNA from 2 species
GAUGCAUAUGCGGGAGAGGCCGGGUGAAAAGGAUCCUGGCGCCGAAGGAGCAACCGCCCCGGAAACUCUCAGGCAAAAGGACCGCAUGGGCUCA